UACUGUAGAAAAGCAAAUAAUAGCUUGAGAUACUCUCUCAACCCACAAGCUGAGAAUUAUAAGCAAGGUAAGAAGAUACUAGUGUGAAACUAUUUAAAGUUGUAUGGCCUUGUUUCAACUAACUGAACGCUGUUCAUAAAUCACGGGCUAUGAGAUCUCCUGAGCAGCAGCCAUCCAGUUUUCCCAAGUAGAGCUUAAGCUUGUUCUCAGUUCCGUUUUCGGUGGAGAAGAGCCCAAGUCAGACAUGUCCCUGUGUGUGAAGCAUUGAGUAUCAGUGCUUCUGGUAUGAUGCACAAGUACAUGUGCAUCUUUUUCUUCAUUUAUUCAUUAGGUUACAGCCAGGCAACAGCAGUUCCAGGACAGGAAGAGGAUAUUUUGAACAAUGGUCUCCAAAGCAGGCCUGAGCAUAGGUUAUCAUAGGAAUCAGAGAGGAGUCAAGGAAAAUAACCUUGACCUUUCUCUUCUCAUUCAUUUCCCAUUAUAUAUUUCUUUUCUUACUAACACACACACAUAUAUAUUUCUUAAUAAAACCAAAUGGCAUAGGUUACAUCACAGCUCCUACAUUGUUUCUGAGGCUUACAAGUGAUUAUUACAGCUCUGAUUUCAGAGCAUUUUUGCUAUGAUAUUGAAGAAGAGAGGAAAUAGGAAAAAGGGCUGUAGGAUGUGGACCAGAGGGGAAAGAGCAAUUCCCACCUUUUGCCUUAUGGUAUAGCCCCUUGUUGAAAAACAUGUAAUACUCUUCCUCUUCACCUUUUGCAUUAGUUGACUACACUUGGUAUUGGCUGUGAAUGUAUCUUAUUAGCAUUGGAAGGGUGUGUACUGCAUUGAAAAUGAGACUGAUGGUUGAAUUUCAUGUCAGAAAAAAAAAAAAAAAAAGAAAAGAAAAAGAAAAAAAAAUGUAAAAAACAUAUCCUAAAAGGUGACAGCCCGUGUUUCAUUUUCCCUGCCCCAUAUCCUGUUCUGGGAAAACUUUUCUUCACUUCUGACUUAAUAAAAGCAUAUACACACACUGAACUUUUUUAAUAUUAUUUUUACUAUUCACACUUUCGAACCACAGAGAGGGACCAAUUUACAUGGCCUAAAAUCCGGGGAAAGUUUUGUUCUGGAAACAAUUAUUUUUGUUGAGAACUAUUGAUGAGGUGAUUACCUAAGAAUUCAGUGGUAGGAAAUGGAAGAGGAGGCAAUUUCUGAGUUUUGAAAGAUCAUCAAUAACAAGUGAAAACAAGUCAGGUUACUCUGUGGAUUGUUUAUACAAGGGUAGUUGUUGAUAAAUGAGCUUCAGAUUGUAUAUUAGAGAUGCACAGUACCUGUGUAAUUGUGCAAUGCAUAAUAAAAGUUUUACUGCUCUCAGCUUGUGAAUAAUGCAUAAUGUACAGACAAUUUACUCCAUGUUUGCAAAAAAAAAAAACAAAACACUUCUCAACAUUUUUCUUUUUCUAAUGUUCAACAAUUUCCCUUAGUUUUCAGUUUUGCAAAUUGGCAAAAACGUUAGAAAUAACCUCACCAUACUACAGAUCUAGUUUUAUAUUACUUACUGGGGAAAAAAAGAAUUAAUAAAUGAAAGUUCCAUAUUUUAGGCAACACAUACCAUGGUUAAGAUGCUGAAGUAUAUGGUGACUUAGCUUCAUAUUACUGUAGAGCAGCAAGAGAAGAUGCUUUGUGAGUUGUGUUAAUAUGUGGUUAAUCAAAGUUAGGGGUGACUUGCCCACUAAGGUGGACAGUGCUGAAGCCCUUUCUUUGCUCUGCCAGGUUCCAUGUACCUUGCAGGUAACGUGAUAGAAGUGUUUUCCACACACUCAUUCCAGGUACUCUCACUUCUGAAGAUGAAUGAUAACAAUAUUUGCAAAGUCGUGGCUGUCAGCUGAGGUCCUGGAUGACUGGAGGAAGGGUCAUGUCACUCCCAUUUGUAAGAAAGGGAACAAGGAGGACCCAGGGAACUACAGGCUGGUGACUCUCAUGGAAAAGAUCCUCCUGGAUGACAUGCUUCAUCACGUGAGGAAUGAGGAUGUGAUCUGAGACAGUCAGCAUGGCUUCACCAGGGGAAGGUCAUGCCUAACCAAUCUAGUGGUCUUCUAUGAUGGAGUGAUGGCUUUGGUGGACAAAGGGAAGGUGACCAAUGUCAUUUACCUGGACAUGAGCAAGGCCUUUGAUGUGGUCCCCCAGCACAUCAUUAUCUCCAAAUUGGAGGGAUGUGGAUUUGAUAGGUGGACCACCUGAAGGAUAAGGAAUUGGUUGAAAGGCUGCAGACAGAGGGUGGUGAUUAAUGGUUCAAUGUCCAGGCGGAGGUCGGUAAUGAUCAGUGUCCCCCAAGGGGUCUGUCUUGGGACCGGUGCUCUUUAACAUCUUUAUCAAUGACACAAACAAUGGAAUUGAGUGCACCCUCAGCAAGUUUACUGACAACACCAAGCUGAGUGGUGAGGUUGACACAGUGGAAGGAAAGGAUGCCAUUCAGAGGGACCUCAAUGGACUUAAAAGGUGGGCCCAGAUGAAUCUAAUGAGGUUCAACACAACAAAGUGCAAGGUUUUGUACUUGGGCAAGAGGAAUCCCAGGCAAAUAUACAGACUGGGAGGAGCAGUCCUUGAGAGUAGCCCUGCAGAGAAGGACCUGACGGAUGAAAAUCUUAACAUGAGCCAGCAGUGUGCUCUUGCAGCUUGGAAAGUAAAUGGUAUCCUGGGUUCCAUCAGAACAGUGGGGGCCAGCAGGGACAGAGAGGUGAUUGUCCCUCUCUACUCUGCUCUUGUGAGGCCCCAUCUGGAGUACUGUGUCCAGGUUUGGAGCCCCCAGUACAAGAAAAACAGCUGUUGAAGAGGGUCCAGAGGAGGGCCACAAAGAUGAUCAGAGGGUUGGAGCACCUCCCCUACGAAUACAGGCUGAGGGAGUUGGGCUUGUUCAGCCUGAAGAAAGGAAAGCUGUGGGGUGACCUAAUUGCAGCCUUUCAGUACCUAAAGGGAGCCUAUAAGCAGGAAGGGAGUCAACUGUUUGAAAGGGUAGAUAACAGCAGGACAAGGGGAAUUGGUUUUAAGUUGAAGGAGGGAAGAUUUAGGUUGGAUGUCAGUGGGAAGUUCUUUACUAUGAGAGUGGUGAGGUGCUGGUACAGGCUGCCCAGAGAGGCUGUGGAUGUCCCAUCCCUGGAGAUGGUCAAGACCAGGUUGGCCGGGGCCCUGGGCAGCCUGGUCUAGUAUAAAAUGUGGAGGUUGGUGCCCCUACUUGAGGCAAGGGGGUUGGAGAUUCAUGAUCCUUGAGGUCCCUUCCAACCUGGGCCAUUCUGUGAAAGAAUGUUCCUGUGUCAGAUUGUCUGCAUGUAGGUGAAAGUUUAAAGAGUGCUCUGUCAUGAUAAAACCAAGAGAUUUGCAGAGUGAAAGUGAAGUAGCUACUAUUCUCACUAUUGAGGAACAUAUCCUCUUCACUAUCACAGCCAUAAAUGAAUAGUAACAACAAACAGGAUUUCUAGCAGGGCCGGGUACUGGUGAGGUAACUAAUAUUUCAAUAAUAUCAGAAAGGUUUCAGUCUGUCAUAAGGUUUGUUUCAAGGAUUAUUCUCAAGUGCAGAAAUCUGGAAAAGCAAAUAAAUAUUGACCUAGCAUACAAGAAAGUAACAGUAAGAAAAGGUGAGUGCAGCUGGUUCCCUGUGGAGGAAGUUGGUUUCAUCAGAAGAAAGAACCACAAAAGAAUUUUCUCAGCAUGUACAUAGGAAAAAAAGGAAACAUUUCUAACGUCACCAGCAUUUUAAUGAAAGUUUGAGUAAGAAAAAAAAAUAAUGCCUCUAAUUUUAACUCUGCAAAGUGCUCAGCAAUGCAAAUCCUUACAGAUUUUAACUGUGAAAGAGCAGGCCUUUCAAGAAGGAGCUUAAGUAAGAUCUGCAGUUGGAAAGAUUUUUUGAUCUGAAUUCUGAGAUUCUACAAUAGAUGCAGCCUGUAUUAUCAGCUGUAAGAAAUGUCCAUGGAAGGACGAAUUGCACUCUUGUAGCACCUGAGUUUAGUGACAUUUAUAAUUUUGAGAUAACAAGGUGUUGACAUUGGCCCAUAUUUUUUUCCCCUCCUGUGAUCAUGUUCUGUUAAAGUGAGCCCAUACAUAUAUUUGUAUGACAAAUACCACAUCUGUAGUUUGUACACAAAUGUCUGAAAUAUUUAGAGUCCAUAUUAUAAAUCUCUAUUUUAAAAAUACAUAUUUACAACUAAAUUAAGGUUUUGGAGGCAGAUUAGUAGGUAACUUAUUAAUAAUUCCCAUUUAAUAGUUUCUUUUAAUAGUUUUAAUUCUGCAAUCUCCAAUUCAUGUUAUAAAAUAACCCCAUUUGUACAGUCAUAAUACAAAAGGUGCAUUUUGCUAAAAUAAUACUUAACAGUUUUCUGAUAUUUCCCUGGCAUUUACUCAUACACAAUUUUCUGAUAUUUCCCUGGCAUUUACUCAUGCAUCAGUCAGUGAAAGUUUACUUCUUACAUAAAUAUCUCUCACACUAUUUUACAAAACAAAACAAAAGAUCUGUGGAAAUAAUGCAGAAGUGAUGUUUUUCAAGAAAUCAUGCAAAGUCUGAGCUCAACAGACCCUUUCAAAGGUACAGAGAUUUGGCCAUCCAGUUACCUCUUGUCAUGAGACUGUAAACAUGUUUUAUCUACAGAAGAAGCAGGUAUUGAAUGCUGUCAGUGAGACUUCUUCCAGCUUCACAGGAAUCAUAAGCAAUUGUUUGCCCUAGUGCUUUGGCAAGUUAUCAGUGCUAACUAUAUGGAAAACAUAUGCCAA
rnacentral:lncRNA from 1 species